rnacentral:rRNA from 1 species
GAUGAACGCUGGCGGCGUGCCUAAUACAUGCAAGUCGAGCGAACAGAUGAGGAGCUUGCUCCUCUGACGUUAGCGGCGGACGGGUGAGUAACACGUGGAUAACCUACCUAUAAGACUGGGAUAACUUCGGGAAACCGGAGCUAAUACCGGAUAAUAUAUUGAACCGCAUGGUUCAAUAGUGAAAGACGGUUUUGCUGUCACUUAUAGAUGGAUCCGCGCCGCAUUAGCUAGUUGGUAAGGUAACGGCUUACCAAGGCAACGAUGCGUAGCCGACCUGAGAGGGUGACCGCCCACCCUGGAACUGAGACACGGUCCACACUCCUACGGGAGGCAGCAUUAUGGAAUCUUCCGCAAUGGGCGAAAGCCUGACGGAGCAACGCCGCGUGAGUGAUGAAGGUCUUCGGAUCGUAAAACUCUGUUAUCAGGGAAGAACAAAUGUGUAAGUAACUAUGCACGUCUUGACGGUACCUAAUCAGAAAGCCACGGCUAACUACGUG